AGAUUAAGUUAUUAAGGGCGCACGGUGGAUGCCUUGGCACUAGAAGCCGAUGAAGGACGUUACUAACGACGAUAUGCUUUGGGGAGCUGUAAGUAAGCUUUGAUCCAGAGAUUUCCGAAUGGGGAAACCCAGCAUGAGUUAUGUCAUGUUAUCGAUAUGUGAAUACAUAGCAUAUCAGAAGGCACACCCGGAGAACUGAAACAUCUUAGUACCCGGAGGAAGAGAAAGAAAAUUCGAUUCCCUUAGUAGCGGCGAGCGAAACGGGAAGAGCCCAAACCAACAAGCUUGCUUGUUGGGGUUGUAGGACACUCUAUACGGAGUUACAAAGGACGACAUUAGACGAAUCAUCUGGAAAGAUGAAUCAAAGAAGGUAAUAAUCCUGUAGUCGAAAAUGUUGUCUCUCUUGAGUGGAUCCUGAGUACGACGGAGCACGUGAAAUUCCGUCGGAAUCUGGGAGGACCAU
rnacentral:rRNA from 2 species